rnacentral:tRNA from 1 species
AGAGGGGUGUCCGAGUGGUCGAAGGAGCACGCCUGGAAAGUGUGUAUAGGUCUCAAGCUUAUCGAGGGUUCGAAUCCCUUCCCCUCUG